rnacentral:rRNA from 1 species
GACGAACGCUGGCGGCGUGCUUAACACAUGCAAGUCGAACGGAAAGGCCCUGCUUUUGUGGGGUGCUCGAGUGGCGAACGGGUGAGUAACACGUGAGUAACCUGCCCUUGACUUUGGGAUAACUUCAGGAAACUGGGGCUAAUACCGGAUAGGAGCUCCUGCUGCAUGGUGGGGGUUGGAAAGUUUCGGCGGUUGGGGAUGGACUCGCGGCUUAUCAGCUUGUUGGUGGGGUAGUGGCUUACCAAGGCUUUGACGGGUAGCCGGCCUGAGAGGGUGACCGGCCACAUUGGGACUGAGAUACGGCCCAGACUCCUACGGGAGGCAGCAGUGGGGAAUAUUGCACAAUGGGCGGAAGCCUGAUGCAGCAACGCCGCGUGCGGGAUGACGGCCUUCGGGUUGUAAACCGCUUCCGCCUGUGACGAAGCGUGAGUGACGGUAAUGGGUAAAGAAGCACCGGCUAACUACGUGCCAGCAGCCGCGGUGAUACGUAGGGUGCGAGCGUUGUCCGGAUUUAUUGGGCGUAAAGGGCUCGUAGGUGGUUGAUCGCGUCGGAAGUGUAAUCUUGGGGCUUAACCCUGAGCGUGCUUUCGAUACGGGUUGACUUGAGGAAGGUAGGGGAGAAUGGAAUUCCUGGUGGAGCGGUGGAAUGCGCAGAUAUCAGGAGGAACACCAGUGGCGAAGGCGGUUCUCUGGGCCUUUCCUGACGCUGAGGAGCGAAAGCGUGGGGAGCGAACAGGCUUAGAUACCCUGGUAGUCCACGCUGUAAACGGUGGGUACUAGGUGUGGGGUCCAUUCCACGGGUUCCGUGCCGUAGCUAACGCUUUAAGUACCCCGCCUGGGGAGUACGGCCGCAAGGCUAAAACUCAAAGGAAUUGACGGGGCCCCGCACAAGCGGCGGAGCAUGCGGAUUAAUUCGAUGCAACGCGUAGAACCUUACCUGGGUUUGACAUGGAUCGGGAGUGCUCAGAGAUGGGUGUGCCUCUUUUGGGGUCGGUUCACAGGUGGUGCAUGCCUGUCGUCAGCUCGUGUCGUGAGAUGUUGGGUUAAGUCCCGCAACGAGCGCAACCCCUGUUCACUGUUGCCAGCACGUUAUGGUGGGGACUCAGUGGAGACCGCCGGGGUCAACUCGGAGGAAGGUGGGGAUGACGUCAAGUCAUCAUGCCCCUUAUGUCCAGGGCUUCACGCAUGCUACAAUGGCUGGUACAGAGAGUGGCGAGCCUGUGAGGGUGAGCGAAUCUCGGAAAGCCGGUCUCAGUUCGGAUUGGGGUCUGCAACUCGACCUCAUGAAGUCGGAGUCGCUAGUAAUCGCAGAUCAGCAACGCUGCGGUGAAUACGUUCCCGGGGCU